rnacentral:rRNA from 1 species
GUCCACGCCGUAAACGAUGAAUGCUAGGUGUUAGGGGUUUCAAUACCCUUGGUGCCGAAGUUAACACAUUAAGCAUUCCGCCUGGGGAGUACGGUCGCAAUACUGAAACUCAAAGGAAUUGACGGGGACCCGCACAAGCAGUGGAGUAUGUGGUUUAAUUCGAAGCAACGCGAAGAACCUUACCAGGUCUUGACAUCCCUCUGACCGGCCUAGAGAUAGGCCUUCCCUUCGGGGCAGAGGAGACAGGUGGUGCAUGGUUGUCGU